AUUUGGCUCUAAAAUCUUGCUG
rnacentral:miRNA from 1 species